rnacentral:rRNA from 1 species
CUCCUACGGAGGCAGCAGUGGGGAAUCUUGCACGAUGGACGAAAGUCUGAUGCAGCAACGCCGCGUGGGGGAUGAAGCUUCUCGGAGUGUAAACCCCUUUCGACCCGGAAGAAUGCCGCAAGGGUCUGACGGUACGGGUAUAAGAAGCCCCGGCUAACUACGUGCCAGCAGCCGCGGUAAUUC